UAAUGUCUGGGAAACUGCCUGAUGGAGGGGGGUAACUACUGGAAACGGUAGCUAAUACCGCAUAAUGUCGCAAGACCAAAGUGGGGGACCUUCGGGCCUCAUGCCAUCAGAUGUGCCCAGAUGGGAUUAGCUAGUAGGUGGGGUAAUGGCUCACCUAGGCGACGAUCCCUAGCUGGUCUGAGAGGAUGACCAGCCACACUGGAACUGAGACACGGUCCAG
rnacentral:rRNA from 1 species